UGGAGAGGAUUUUGGCUUUACAUAAUUGUUUUUCAUAAAUUUUGGUGUCCAUCUUGCCGUUAAAGGGUUUUCUGUCAGUUUCAAAUUUGGGCGGUAAAGGCGACGUGUUCCAAUUAGGGGACAGACGAUGCGAGAUCAAGACCUCCCCCCUCUCUCUCUCUCUUUUCAUAUUUUGGCAUGAAGAAGCAGAGAGGCACGGUAGUAGUUUGGUUGCAGAUAUGAGCACAGGCGAGAUUCCUCCCAAUACAACCAUCUACAUCAAUAAUCUCAAUGAGAAAAUCAAACUCGAAGAGGAUACAGUAUGCAAAGACAAAACCUGAUAUUGUAGCAAAAGCUGAUGGUACCUUCGCUCCAUGAGAAAGACAAAAGCGGCAUGAAGAAAGAGCUGAGAGAAAGCGAAGAGAACAACAUGAUGCCAACCAAGGUGGGAUGGAUGUGAAUUCUGCAUAUGCGGGUGCCUAUGGUGCAUCUCCUGUAAAAGAGGCUACCAAAACGUGUGCAGAUGCAGGGUCUCAAGUCUCAGGUAAAAAAGGCUAACGACCUUCCUUCGGCAGUGAAUGUGGUUCAGCUUCCCAAGCAAUGGACUGUUACCUGUUAUAUUGGUUGCCUCGCCGUCUCCGGUGACCUACUCUAUGCCGCCUCGGGUUCCGUUAAGUCUCGCUAUUUCGGAAAGGAAGCUCUUCACCGCUCACCAGGACUCUAAGAUCCGAGUCUGGCAGCUAACCCCAACCAAACGACAUCAACUCGUGGCAACGACAUCUACCGAAGAACUACGUCCGCGUCAGACAUCACAAGAAACGGGUAUGGAUUGAACACGCUGACGCUGUCUCUGGCCUCGCCAUCAGCAAUGGUUUAAUCUACUCCGUUUCCUGGGGUAAGUGCCUGAAAGUAUGGCGGGCGUCGGAUCUCCGUUGCUUGGAGUCCGUGAAACCCAAGGCAAAUCUCCACUGCAACCAGCUGGAGAGGAACAGUUGUUCGUUCUCUCUUUCUCUCUUCUUCUUCUUCUUCCCCUGCUUCAGAUCGUCUUCUCCUCCUCUACACCAUCUCCCGCUGCAACAUAUCAGAAAACGUAAACUCCAUUUACGUUGAUGUAACCAAACAGGACAAUUGUAAAUCGGCACAAUGGCCGGUCCGUAUUUUACACUCUUACCGAACCAUCGUGUCUCAACUCUAUCAAUGGAAAAGAGC